AUGGGGGCUCAGCCGGCGGGAACGCGGCGGGGCUCGGGACCCCUCCCCACCGGGCCGCGGCCCCGUCCCCUCCCGCCGGACAAUGAGUCCCGUAUGCUAAUGAGAGUCUCGCGUCACUUCCGCUCUUUCUCGGCCGCCAUCUUGGCCAGGGCAGGUUCUGGGCAGGAGGGACCCGGCUGUAUUGUCUGCAGGGAGCCCCCCCCCGCCCCGCGGCCCCGCACCCCCCGUCCCGGGGACCGAGCCCAGUGCCGCCGCCGCCCCGCCGCUCCCCGUAGCGUCCCCUUCCGCACACCGCCCCCUCCUCCCCGCCGCCUCCCAGCCCCCUUUGUCUCCCCCGCGCCGCCGCCGGCUGCGCACCGCUCCGCCCGCGCGGGGAUCCGGGCGGCGCCGGGAGGCGGCUCCGCGCCCCUCGCCCCGCGCCGGAGGUGCCGGGACCGCGCCCGCCCCCGCCGCUCGGAGAGCCGCGCUCAGGUAGGUGUGCGCCGCGCUCCGGCCCGGGCGGCCCCCGCCCUCCGCGCCCCCCGGCCGCUCGGAAGAGGAGAGCGGCGGCGCCGAGGGGUCCGGCCCUCGCAUCGGGCGCGGGGACCGUUACGCCGCCGGCGCCCUCCGCGCGGCGCCGCGCUCCCGGCCGGCGGGGGCAGCGCGCGGCGAUGCGGGUCCGGGCCGGGCUCAGCGCGGGCGGGGAAGGGGAGCGGCGCCGGGCCGCGUUCCGCCGCUCAGACAAAGGCGGGCAGCGGGGCUCUGCGGCUCUGCGUGCCGGCACCGCGCGUCGCAGCCCGGGCGGGAAGGGAGGGCAGCGCGCCGUGCGGCGCUCGCGGCGCGGAUGGUGCCUCCCUCCUUUCGUUCCUUUCCUUUUUUCUUUUUUUUUUUUUUUCUCCCCAUUCUGCUCUCCCCCCUCCCCGCCGCGUUACACCCGCGUUGUCGCUCCCGCUGGAUGGCCGUGGCAGAAAAAUACCAGCCCCCACCCAAAAUGCACCGCAGCCCGCCCGGGAGAUGAGUGCGGGAGGCAGCAGGGGGCGCGUUCCGCGCCGGGCAGGGCUGCGGCGGGGGAGGGAGGGCCGCGCUGCGGCCCCGGAGUGCCGCCGCCCGGUGCGGGGCGCCGCGAUUCGCGCCGGCCCGGGAUGUCGGCGCGGGGUUGCAGCGCGAGGCCCGACGCGUCGCGGGGCGGGAGGGGAUCGAGCGCGCGGAGGGCUUCGGAGGAUGCCCGGCUGGCGCGGGAUCCGGCGGGGUCGGUGGCGGCGGCCCCGCGAAGAGGCGCGGCUUCCUGAGCGCGGCUGCGGCCGUAGGAAGUUCUGCGCUCCGGGGUGGUCCUGA
rnacentral:lncRNA from 1 species